UCCCUGGUGGUCCAGUGGUUAGGACUCUGCACUCUCACUGCUGAGGGCCCAGGUUCAUUCCCUGGCUGGGGAA
rfam:TPA: Bos taurus chromosome 7, whole genome shotgun sequence.